rnacentral:rRNA from 1 species
AGUGAACGCUGGCGGUAGGCCUAACACAUGCAAGUCGAACGGCAGCACAGGAGAGCUUGCUCUCUGGGUGGCGAGUGGCGGACGGGUGAGGAAUACAUCGGAAUCUACCUUUUCGUGGGGGAUAACGUAGGGAAACUUACGCUAAUACCGCAUACGACCUACGGGUGAAAGUGGGGGACCGCAAGGCCUCACGCGAUUAGAUGAGCCGAUGUCCGAUUAGCUAGUUGGCGGGGUAAUGGCCCACCAAGGCGACGAUCGGUAGCUGGUCUGAGAGGAUGAUCAGCCACACUGGAACUGAGACACGGUCCAGACUCCUACGGGAGGCAGCAGUGGGGAAUAUUGGACAAUGGGCGCAAGCCUGAUCCAGCCAUACCGCGUGGGUGAAGAAGGCCUUCGGGUUGUAAAGCCCUUUUGUUGGGAAAGAAAUCCUGUCGAUUAAUACUCGGUGGGGAUGACGGUACCCAAAGAAUAAGCGCCGGCUAACUUCGUGCCAGCCGCCGCAGUAAUAC